rnacentral:rRNA from 1 species
AUUGAACGCUGGCGGCAGGCCUAACACAUGCAAGUCGAACGAGUGGCGGACGGGUGAGUAAUGUCUGGGAAACUGCCUGAUGGAGGGGGAUAACUACUGGAAACGGUAGCUAAUACCGCAUACCAUCAGAUGUGCCCAGAUGGGAUUAGCUAGUUGGUGGGGUAACGGCUCACCAAGGCGACGAUCCCUAGCUGGUCGGAGAGGAUGACCAGCCACAUGGGAAGUUGGACACGGACCAGACUCCUACGGGAGGCACCAGUGGGGAAUAUGGCGCAAGGGGCGGAAGCCUGAUGCAGCCAUGCCGCGUGUAUGAAGAAGGCCUUCGGGUUGUAAAGUACUUUCAGUGGGGAGGCGUUACCCGCAGAAGAAGCACCGGCUAACUCCGUGCCAGCAGCCGCGGUAAUAC